CUGAGUUCUCAUCAACGUGACAGACCUCUGCUGUGUUCUGUAGCCACAGGCCUCACCCCGGCAUCUCCCUGAGUCUGGGAGAAGCAGCAGCUAUCCUGUGGGCUGGAGGGGAUGGACCUUCCUGAGAGAUCUGAGGUCUUGGGGAGCAGGGCAUCCCGGAUGGUGGAAGGGGAGACAGUAAGGGUGAGGUGCACCCAGAAACCUGGGAAGAGGAGACACCCUGCGGUAAAGCUGAAGGAUUCCUAGAGGGAUGACCCACUGCAUGUGGGGUCGUUUAAGUAGUUUGCCUCAUACGACAGGCAGGAGGAAGGAGAUGUGAAGAAAUGAAAGGAAUGUUCUGACUCAACGUUAAUGGCCCAAAGGCAUGUGUGAAAGAAAAUGGAGUAUUUUCUGCCAUAUCAAUAAACAAGGAUGUCACCGUCAUCAAUGAUUCCAGCCCUUCAAAUGUGAAGUCCUGAGCCCUAAGAGCACUCAGGAAGGAGAAGAGGACCUGCAAUCUGGCAGCACUCAGGCUGCAGCCAUUUCCUGUGGUGAGCCCAAGGGAGCACAGGAGGUGAAAAUCGCAAUAUACUAGCCCCGAGAUAGCUGAGAUGCAUAUGAAAGCAAUGAUUUUGGUGAGCCCAGACUCUUGCAUCUUUCCAUACACAGAGAGCACAAAGUUCCUUAUCUUGAGAUAUCUGGUUUUCUUUAAUUAACAAAAAUACUUUUGAUGUUCAGACUACUUGCCCUUUGUUGCGAACUUUGUGCUACAAUCCAUGGGGUCACAGAGUCAGACACAACUUAGCGACUGAACAACAGCAAUAUAACCUGACUCUUCCCUCCUCACCUCCUUGGAGCAGUUCUCUCGGGAAAACAUCGCUGAGAUGUUUUCCUAAAAAUUCCCACUGAAUAAAACAUAAUUCUCAGCUUUUAGGUUGUGACUA
ensembl:lncRNA